GAUGAAGAACGUAGUGAAAUGCGAUAAGUAAUGUGAAUUGCAGAAUUCAGUGAAUCAUCGAAUCUUUGAACGCACAUUGCGCCACUUGGUAUUCCGAGGGGCAUGCCUGUUCGAGCGUCAUUAUAACCCCUCAAGCUCAGCUUGGUGUUGGGGCCUGCUGCACUGGCAGCCCUUAAAAUCAGUGGCGGCGCCAUCUGGCUCUAAGCGUAGUAAUUCUUCUCGCUAUGGAGUCCUGGUGGAUGCUUGCCAUCAACCCCCAAUUUUUCUAUGGUUGACCUCGGAUCAGGUAGGGAUACCCGCUGAACUUAAGCAUAUCAUAAGCGGAGGA
rnacentral:misc_RNA from 1 species